UUCCAAAAUAGGCAGGUGGAGCAGUGACAGGUCGUCUUUAAAAGCAUCUAACACUGCUCAAAAAAAAACAAAAAAAAAAAACACUUCAACCACAUCAGUGUUCCACUUGCAAAUCUUUAUUACACAAUGGAAUACGUUGAGAAAACAAAAAUGAUCAAUGUAAAUAAAUAUCCCAUGAAGGUCUGGAUAUGGAAUGAUACUUAAAAUCCAAGU